rnacentral:rRNA from 1 species
AUUGAACGCUGGCGGAAUGCUUUACACAUGCAAGUCGAACGGCAGCACGGGGGCAGCCCUGGUGGCGAGUGGCGAACGGGUGAGUAAUACAUCGGAACGUGCCCGGUCGUGGGGGAUAACGUAGCGAAAGUUACGCUAAUACCGCAUACGAUGUGAGGAUGAAAGCGGGGGACCUUCGGGCCUCGCGCGAUCGGAGCAGCCGAUGUCUGAUUAGGUAGUUGGUGGGGUAAAGGCCUACCAAGCCGACGAACUGUAGCUGGUCUGAGAGGACGACCAGCCACACUGGGACUGAGACACGGCCCAGACUCCUACGGGAGGCAGCAGUGGGGAAUUUUGGACGAUGGGCGCAAGCCUGAUCCAGCCAUUCCGCGUGCAGGACGAAGGCCUUCGGGUUGUAAACUGCUUUUGUACGGAACGAAAAGGCUCUGGCUAAUACCUGAGGAUCAUGACGGUACCGGAAGAAUAAGCACCGGCUAACUACGUG